UCUUGGCUGGAAGGAAUCUCGACAUUCAACCCACAGGCUUGCUUUAGGAUGGCUCCCGGAGGACAGAACAACAAAACUUCCUCUUGGUUUUGGUUUUUCAGAGUGGUGGGGAGGAAGGUGGCUGAGUAUUUACAUGCCUUCCCUGCUUCUUCCUUCGUAGAACGGUGGCCACAGACUACCUUGUCAAUGUGAUUUUAACCUAAGUUACCUGCUUCUGUAUCCAUUUUUUGGGGGGGAGGGGAAACACUUUGGAGUACAAUAAUACUCCAGAAAAAAGUUUGUUUUCAUAGGAAGGAGAUAAAGGGAAGAAACUUUUUCUUUGCAUUCUUCAAACACCAAUUCUGAACUUAACUCUUCCUGAGAUAACCCCUAAAAGGCAGAAAGAGUUAACAUUUGUCACUGCUUAGAUGAGCUUGAUAAAGAGUCACUUCUAGGAACAGACAAGAUAGGCAUUUUGCAAACACUCUGAAUUCAAUGUGUUUCCUAAUGUAUUAAUUGUAGCACUAAGGCCUUCAUUCUCCUAACUUAGCCUAUUGAUAAUCUUUACAGGCUGAAAAAAUGCUAUUUCAGUAUCUUUUCUAGUAUAUAUGAAUAAUCGGCUCUUCAAAACUAUUUCUGAAAGUAUUCAAGCUAGUCCUGUAAUACAGAAUCAUAGUCCAUUAUGUUUAUAGAUAAGUAAAUCGGAACAGAAAAGAUUAUGUUACCUGUGUCAAGUUAACACAAUGAGUCAGUGGUAAAGCUGUGAGUAAUAUUCAAAGCUGCUUCUGUUUCUGAGACCUGUGGUUUAACCACUAAACAAUACACUAUACUUGAGUGCAUAAUCUAUUCUAAAGACUUACUCACUUAUUUUGUACUAUUUAUAAAUAUGGGCUCCGAACAGAUCCCUAAUAAAACACUUUCAUAGCCUCAAUAAUAAAGAAUAGCCUAUUCUUUCACCUAUAUUAUAGGAGUUUUAUAAAUAUCUAUGCCCAUUUUAACCCAUUACAGGUAAGUAUUAGGGUGAAAUACUGGUUCCAUUCUAUGCAAGUUUUUAAAAGGCCUACAGCUUAAUCUUAUACAUAAACCUUUCAUGCCCAAUUACUUUUGCCUAGUCCUUGGUUUUGCUUAUGUAACUGUUAAUUAUAUGGCCCUUUGUCUAUCAUAUAUAGAAAGAGAUCCCAGUUACCAAAGUAUUUGUCUUACAUUUUAAACCAAUUUUAAUAUUUUACUCAUUUUUCCUUGUUUUAAAAUUUCCACUGGAAAUUUACAGCAUUUAAGCAUUUCCACAAAUGCUUAAUUUUGAAUGAACAUUGACCAAAGAAUAGAAGGCAGAUAACUUUGAACUUGGUAAUUGUGCAUAGAAGACCUAACCAGUUAUAAAUACAUGGCUUUGCAAAUGAUUCCAGUCUAACUAUAUUAUUAGCAUUAUUAAGUGUUUAUCUUUUGGGGCAAAAUGAUAAACAGAUUUAGCAUUUGGGUUAGAAUAAAUUCUGGUCUAAAUUGUUUUCUAAUUAAAUCUUAAUUUUUUUGUGAAUUCUCAUGUAUUUUUGGAUUCCAUAUAUCUAAUACAUUUUGAUUACAUUUCACAAUGAUUUGCAUGAAAGAAGACAGAAAACCACCUGUACUGAUCUUAGAAAAUAUCUCAUCCUCUACAAAAUGAUUGUUUAUUGUUUAUUUAAUUUAUAUACUGCUUCUCUUACCAAAGACAACUCCUAGAGGGAUUGGGAAUCAUAUAGGACCCAAAUGUCCUCCAUAUAAAAUUUUCAGCAUUCUUAAACAAGGAUAAAAUUUGAUUGAAUGCAUAUAUGUCUCUAAAUUAGGCUUUUGGUCCAAUUGUGUAGUGGCCUAAGUUGCAAAAUUGUUGAAAGGAUAGAAUAAUGAAACAAGUAUAUAUUGGCUUUCCUGAACUUAAUAGACAUUUUUCAGUUCUAUUGAUACUUUAAAUAGUUUUCCAUGUUUCUUUUGCAUGAUGUCAUAUGGGAUAGACACGUUAAUUUCUUACAUUAGUCAAUACACUAUAUAUAAGAAAUCAAAUUUAGAUUUGGGUUGUAAAGCACACUACAGUUUUAUAUUUGUCCUGCCAUCAACAAAGGUUACCUCCUAAAAUUUGAUGACAUUUCCAGAUCAAUUUAAUAGCUAUUAGAAUGCUUCAUUAGUUCCAUGAUACAUAUAUGUCACAUGAGACUCUAACACUGUAAAAUGCAGCGAUUCUAUGUACCAUAUUACCAUGCUAUUUAAAUAAUUUUUCUGCUUUAAUAUAGUUAAUCAAAUAUAGAUUUACUAUUACACCUUUGUAAAUUUCAUAGAUUAAAGAAAUUAUCGUACAAACUGAAAAAUAAAUAUUUUGCAUUUUCAUUCCAAAAUGCUCAGAUUAGUUUUAAUACUAUGAUGAGUGUUAUAAAAGGAAUUGAUUCAAAAUAUACAUGUCCAAUGGAUUACAAUUAAAACAAAGAGUUUAGAUUGAGUCUGAAAGGAUACUGUAGCAUUUAAGCAUUGUUUUAGUCAUUUCAGUUAUGAAGUUCUGUUUUAUUGAUGAAAGCAAAAAAAUUUUGCAGAAAAUAUUGUCAUAGUAUCUUUGCCUUCUGAAAAGGAAAAUUAAUGGAUAUAAGGAUGCUAGAAGUUUCCAUCAAGCUCCCUGUUUCAGUCAUUUUUAUUUUUUUUUAAUUUCAUUUCAUUGCUUCAUAUUUUUCUUACUUAUAUUACUAUAGAUAUAUAUUGAAAAAUAAAUCCACAUGAAUUCAAAUGCAUUUACUGAUAAAUCAGUUUAGUAGCUAGUAGAAUAUUAGUAUUUUGCAGUAAGAAAUACCAUAAAAUAUUAAGUCUUUUUUUAUGUUCCAGCAUGAGAUGUUACAUUCCAGUAUCUGUUCAACCAAAAUGAUGAAGGUUUGCAUGUCCAUUUGGUAGAUAUUAAUGGGGAUCUUAACUACAGCUUAACAUAUUGUUCAUUUUCAACACUGUCACAUUGCACUCAUAUAGAGCACAUUUUAAUUUCUUGAUCAGUAAUCAAAUGGAAGUUUCUUUUGGCAAAUUAAAACGAAGGAUUUUUGUAUAGAAGAAAGGAUAUGGGAAUAUGACGCCACCUUUUGGUGAUAAAAGUAAACACUGCAGAUUUGAAUUCUUAAGAAAGACUUUUGAAACACUUUUUAUAGAAUAAGAACAAAGUACUUGUGCCUUCUGUAAUUCAUUAUAUUUUAAAUAAAUAAGAGGAAAAUUAUUAAAAAUAUUUGUAUGGCAAAAGAUAAUUUAGAUGUACUUAAAGAAUAAUCUCUAAUCUCGGUGGAUAUUGGAAGAAAUAAUUUUGCAUUCUAUUAUUACAUGUAAUAUUACAGAAGAUUAUGAAAAUGCAAUGAAAACCAAAGACUUUUCUUUUUGGAUUGAUGGAUAAGCAUCUGGAAAAAAAAUGGAACUGUGUUUCUAUAUAUGACGACUCCAGCAAGACUAAUAUAGGUACAAAGGUGGAUGAUGCAAUCAUGUUUCAAAUAGAUUUUGUAGAAGGGAAAUAAUGAGUAGAACUGGAUUAUCCAAUGAGACUGAAAAGUGGGGAACUCGGAAGAAAAAAAACAAAAGAAAAAUCUUGGCUGUGGUAAUGAUCUAUGGAAUUCACCACCAGAAAUGGGUGAUAACCAUGAACUUGAACAUUUAAAGGUAAAUUUGCAAAGAGAAGGCUGCUGGUGGCUUCUUGUAAUAUUGUAGUCUAUAUGUCUCUAAGAAGAGUCUUUGAGGAACAUGAUGAAGAUGAAAUUACUAAAUUCAUACCAAAUUCAAACUAAAUUGUUUCUAAUAUCAUGACUUUUUUAUGUUUAUAUUUUUUAAAUAUUUAUUUGCUGCAACUUGUCAACCGUGCUGUCUUUCACACAUUGCUACAAAGGUCUGUAGGUUGCUAUUGAGCUAGUAUUAAAUACUUUUAUUGUCCAACAUACUGCACUCUCCAUACAUUUACAUUUAAGCAUGUAUUCUUUUAUUUUGUCUAUGUAGUAUGUAUACCUAUGUAAUUUACUUCAACAGACAAAAUUCCUUGAAUUUUUAAUAGAAAACACUUCUUAUACUUUUCUUCAGUAGAUAAAGAUUAUUCAAAUGGGGGGGAGAUGUGGCUUACUGAGGGAGGAACUGCUGGUCAGAAAUUGUCCCCAACCCAGUGGUUCCAACCCAGCUGCAUGACAUAGAGUGAGCCUCUGUUGCUUGACCUCUAGCUCCUGCCCAACCAGCAGUUUGAAAGCAUGCAAUAUUGUGAGUAGAUAAAUGAGUACCGUUUUGGUGGGAAAAACCUAACUUGUGUUUGUGGAGAGUGGAAGCCAGCGCUGGAUCUGAGGCAUUGCAACACAACGUAAGGCAAAGAGACCAGCGGAGGAGCCUGGAAGAUCAAGCACCCAUUAGCUAAUGAACUAGCAAUCUAGGCUGCCAGGACUGCAUUGUGUCUAGCAUAUGUAGAUUUCCUUGACAUUGUAUGCUAUAUGCUAAAUAAUAAAUAAUUAAAAACAAUACU